AUUGAACGCUGGCGGCAUGCCUUACACAUGCAAGUCGAGCGGCAGCGCGGGGGCAACCCUGGCGGCGAGCGGCGAACGGGUGAGUAAUGCAUCGGAACGUGUCCUUUUGUGGGGGAUAACCAGUCGAAAGACUGGCUAAUACCGCAUGAGCUCGAGAGAGGAAAGCAGGGGACCGCAAGGCCUUGCGCGAGAGGAGCGGCCGAUGCCCGAUUAGCAGUUGGUGAGGUAACGGCUCACCAAGGCGACGAUCGGUAGCUGGUUUGAGAGAACGACCAGCCACACUGGGACUGAGACACGGCCCAGACUCCUACGGGAGGCAGCAGUGGGAAUUUUGGACAAUGGGCGCAAGCCUGAUCCAGCCAUGCCGCGUGUGUG
rnacentral:rRNA from 1 species